ACUCAAAGGAAUUGACGGGGACCCGCACAAGCAGCGGAGCAUGUGGUUUAAUUCGAAGCAACGCGAAGAACCUUACCAGGACUUGACAUUAUGCGACAGGUAUGGAAACAUACCCUCCUUCGGGCGCAUGGACAGGUGGUGCAUGGUUGUCGUCAGCUCGUGUCGUGAGAUGUUCGGUUAAGUCCGGCAACGAGCGCAACCCUUACGGUAUGUUACCAAUAUUAAGUUAGGGACUCAUACGGGACUGCCGCGGACAACGCGGAGGAAGGCGGGGACGACGUCAAAUCAUCAUGCCCCUUACGUUCUGGGCUACACACGUGCUACAAUGGGCGCUACAAAGAGCAGCAAGACGGUAACGUUAAGCGAAUCUCAUAAAAGCGUUCUCAGUUCGGAUUGAGGGCUGCAACCCGCCCUCAUGAAGCCGGAGUUGCUAGUAAUCCCGAAUCAGCAUGUCGGGGUGAAUGCGUUCCCGGGUCUUGUACACACCGCCCGU
rnacentral:rRNA from 1 species